rnacentral:rRNA from 1 species
AUACGUAGGGGGCGAGCGUUGUCCGGAAUGAUUGGGCGUAAAGGGCGCGUAGGCGGCCCGGUAAGUCUGGAGUGAAAGUCCUGUUUUAAGAUGGGAAUUGCUUUGGAUACUGUCGGGCUUGAGUGCAGGAGAGGUAAGUGGAAUUCCCAGUGUAGCGGUGAAAUGCGUAGAGAUUGGGAGGAACACCAGUGGCGAAGGCGACUUACUGGACUGUAACUGACGCUGAGGCGCGAAAGUGUGGGGAGCAAACAGGAUUAGAUACCCUGGUAGUCCACACUGUAAACGAUGAAUGCUAGGUGUAGGGGGUAUCGACCCCUUCUGUGCCGCAGUCAACACAAUAAGCAUUCCGCCUGGGGAGUACGGCCGCAAGGUUGAAACUCAAAGGAAUUGACGGGG